CCUACGGGAGGCAGCAGUGGGGCAUAUUGGACAAUGGGGGGAACCCUGAUCCAGCGACGCCGCGUGAGUGAAGAAGUAUUUCGGUAUGUAAAGCUCUAUCAGCAGGGAAGAAAAUGACGGUACCUGACUAAGAAGCCCCGGCUAACUACGUGCCAGCAGCCGCGGUAAUACGUAGGGGGCAAGCGUUAUCCGGAUUUACUGGGCGUAAAGGGAGCGUAGGCGGGGCAGCAAGUCUGAUGUGAAAGGUCGGGGCCCAACCCCGGGACUGCAUUGGAAACUGUUGAACUGGAGUACAGGAGAGGUAAGCGGAAUUCCUAGUGUAGCGGUGAAAUGCGUAGAGAUUAAGAGGAACACCAGUGGCGAAGGCGGCUUACUAAACUGCCACUGACAUUGAUGCUCGAAAGUGUGGGGAGCAAACAGGAUUAGAUACCCCGGUAGUC
rnacentral:rRNA from 1 species